GAUGAACGCUGGCGGCGUGCCCAAUACAUGCAAGUCGAGCGAACAGAUGAGGAGCUUGCUCCUCUGACGUUAGCGGCGGACGGGUGAGUAACACGUGGAUAACCUACCUAUAAGACUGGGAUAACUUCGGGAAACCGGAGCUAAUACCGGAUAAUAUAUUGAACCGCAUGGUUCAAUAGUGAAAGACGGUUUUGCUGUCACUUAUAGAUGGAUCCGCGCCGCAUUAGCUAGUUGGUAAGGUAACGGCUUACCAAGGCAACGAUGCGUAGCCGACCUGAGAGGGUGAUCGGCCACACUGGAACUGAGACACGGUCCAGACUCCUACGGGAGGCAGCAGUAGGGAAUCUUCCGCAAUGGGCGAAAGCCUGACGGAGCAACGCCGCGUGAGUGAUGAAGGUCUUCGGAUCGUAAAACUCUGUUAUUAGGGAAGAACAAAUGUGUAAGUAACUGUGCACGUCUUGACGGUACCUAAUCAGAAAGCCACGGCUAACUACGUG
rnacentral:rRNA from 1 species